ensembl:lncRNA
GAGAGAAAGAGAGAGAGAAGGAAAAACAGAAUGAACUUUAAGAUCCCAUGCUGACACUUUUACUGUGAAAUCAUUACAGACUUUUCUAGAAAAUCAAUUUUCUUCAGAUUGAUUCUUUAAACUCUUUAACCCCUACUCACACACCGGAGGGCCUGCAGUAACACGGAGCUGCCAUAGAGGGGCAACAUUUCCCACCACAUCUGACUGCUGUCCAUCUCUCUCUCUCUCCCUCUCUCACCCUAAAGCCUGCCCGUCCUCCUUUCUCCAUGGACCCUGGAGUGUUGAACGCUCUUAAGCAGCAAAACGUUAGUUAGCGACAGACAAACAGACAGGCGUGCACACGCACGCGCACACACACACACACACACACACGCUGAAAUGUAGAAAGCCGCAGCAAAGAGCAGUCAAGCCGUGAGAAAAGAGCGUCAACAACUACCAGAGCCGUUCUACUAAACGUCUGCUUAUUAUAUUUAAACCCCUGAUUGACUGAUCACUUGCAUUGAGUAAGGAAAAACCACAUGGGGUCACGUUGUUAUAUCCUAAAGUGUUUUAUUCCUCUUAUACCGCAGCAAUGUGUCAUCGAUUACAAUUUGUUAUUGUUUACGUUUAUUAUAUUAUUUUAUAAACAUAAACUUCAAGCGACAGCUUUAUCUCCGACUGUUAGAAAGCGCCAAUACUGGAGACUCCUUCCAUAAACUCUACACAAGAAAAUAAAUAAAUAAAUAAAUCACACUCAUUUAUGUCAAGCAUCAGCCGUGCUACGGAUAAGCUGUUACUAUAGAAACGGCGACGUAACAGUACGAGCGUAUUAAAAGAAACCCGUGAUCUGCGUCCGAGCUGCAGGACUGUCCGAGCUGCUGACGUGGAAAACUAAUCAACACUUUCUGACCAAUCAGAAAGGAGAAUUCAACAGCACUGUGGUGUAAAUAGGUUUAAUCUAACCGUGUUUUGAAUCCAAGUUCUUACAGUGCUACUCAUUUGGGUUUUAGAGGCGAAAAGAAAAAAAAAAAAGGAAUAAAAAUAACACCACCACAACGAUCGGUUCUAAUAAAUAAAUAAAUAAAUAAGAUGGCACAUAUUUGCCUAAUGUGCAAUAACGCUUGGAUAAAUCUGUGCUGCAGUAAGGGGUCUGCUGAAGUUUAUUUACACUGGAAGCAAAUCCUUAGCAGAAAAAAGUCUGAAAAACUCCAGAUCCAUCCAUCAGUCCAUCUGUCUACUCUUCAGUUUUUCUGCACUUUUUUAUUUAUUUAUUUAUUUUUUUAUAGUUUCCACUGCUCCUCUCGCUUUGUUCGUCAGCUUUAAAACAACUCUCCACAUGAAUUUAUAUAUGUUACGAUGUAUAUUAUAUAUAAGCACACACUAAUAGUGCUGCUGCUAGAAUAACACACAGAGAGACAGACAGAGAUACCACGCAGAGAUACCACACACACACACACAUUUAUAAUCGAAUGAACUCUUUUUGCAUUGUACGAAAUAUUCUGUGAAAGUUGUUAAAGAACUUGCACGAGGGUAAGUCGCAAGUUUACUUGUAUCAGAUUGAGUAAAAUCGACCCGCUUGUGAGAUCAGGUGCACUGCGAUACAUGAUGAAACGCUUGCAGGAUCUCGUAUUUUCUCUUCGCGACUGUCCUCACGGCUUGCGCAUGCUCCAAACGGGUCUGAAUCCAAUAGAUGUGGAAGCAAAUAAACCCAGGACCACACCAGCAGGAGCUCCAUUCACAGGCGAUGUUUAGUUUGGCCACCUGAAGGAAGCAUGAUUUACAAUGGAUCAACAUGGCCGUCCGGCCUGAAACGAGGCUCAGCCUCCGCGCCGUGCCAUCUGGGGUCACAUGGGGAUGUAAUACCUCUCUAAUGAGCGGUACAAGCUUACUGCUCACAGUCCAGCAAACACCACCUCAAAGCUGUACACACACACACACACGUUUCUGAACAGAGAGGUAACAUUCAUCCGUAUACGCACGUCUGUGUAGUCCAUGUCCUGUCAGACUGUCCGCGAAAAAUUACUCCACGAUAUACGUUUCAUACUCCACAAAACUUCUGUGACCUUGUUCGAAAAACAUUGAAAACCUUCCAUAAGCUCACACUGCAGCGUUCAACUUGAGAUUUAGGACACUACUUCCUUCGUUGUGGGAACGGAAUUGUUCGACAGUGCAGAGCUGUUGAAUUCUUCAGUCUGAUGGGAAUUCAGAAGGUGUUGAUACAUUUUCUAUAACUGCGGCUCUCGCAGGAGUUCUGAAUGCAAAUCACCACGGGUUCAUUUUAAAACCUCACGCAAGGACACGCUGACGCUCCCUAUGAGCACAUUUAUAAAUGUGUAACUUACUC